rnacentral:lncRNA from 1 species
UUCUUCAAUUGAAGGCCGGAGGAUCAUAUCGGGUUCCAGGAGCCUCUUGAGCAGGUCCUGGCAAUCGGCCGAGAUGCUCAGAUGAGUGGGGAAGGACACCCCCUUCUGCUGCUGCCACAGCAUCUUGGGGAUGUCUGUGUCGUCAAAAGGUAGGCUGGCACAGAGCAUGACAUACAGGACCACACCCAUGCUCCAGACAUCACCUUUUUUGCUAUCGUGGGGAAUGCCCUGCAGCACCUCGGGGGCAGCAUAGGCUGUACUGCCGCAGAAGGUCUGGCUCAGCUCCCGGUGUGACUUGGGCAACACCUUGGCAAAGCCAAAGUCAGUCAGCUUCAGGUUGAAGCCCUGCAACAAGGCGUUCUCACAUUUGAGGUCCCGGUGGGCCACACCACAGCCAUGGCAGUAGCGGAUGGCCUCAACCAUCUGACGGAAGAGGGCCUUGGCCCGGCUUUCAGGCAGUGGCCCCCCAUUCAGCACGCAGUCAAAGACAUCCCCUCCCUCAGCGAGCUCCAUCACCAGGCAGAUUUUCCCGUCGGCAGACUCCAGCAUCUCAUACACCUGGAUGAUGUUCUUGUGGUCCAGGGUACGGACGAUUUGGAGCUCCCGAGGGAGGAAUCUCUGGAUAAACUCUGAGGAAGUAAGGGGAGGAGAGAUGGGCUGGCAGAUCAGAAAGGCCCACCUCCUCACACCUGUCUCCUGCCUUCCAACUUCUGCCCACCUUGUCUGGGUCUUAUUUCUUGGCUUUCUUAAUGGUCUUAAGUGUGUCUAGCUGCUUGGACAUUGCAAAGAAUGUUCACUUCUAUUAUUUUUGUCGUUAGUAUAUCAUUCAAAAGAAGCACUCCCCACCAGCCUUGUGGACUGUUGUGAGCAGUCUGUGAGACUGGAUAUCAAGGUGCUUUAGGGACUUUUAGACAAAGCCACAGAAUCACAAAUUAUAAGGCCUGAUUUGUCCACAGGGUGGUGAGCCAGCUCCUCCCGCCACUGUCCCCUGACCCCACAAUUCUUUCCAUGAGCCCUGUCUUCCUUUUUCCCAUCUCCACGGGCCUUGGCACCAGCCCCUGUUCUCUACCAGCCCUGGUUGUGGCCUCUGCCAGUCUCUGUUCCCCUGCCGGAAAGGAAAGCCUGGCUCAGGUUUUGCCUCUGAGGAUCCUUCACCUCAUGCCACUUUCAUCUUGCAUUCUGGGGGGGUGUAAUGUUCCUGGACUCCCAGAACCCCUCUGUUCCCCACUGACCCACUCCAGAGCUGCCAUCGGGCUUGCUUGGUUCCAGGCCAGCGGGAGCAGGGAAUGAUCGAAUGAUCGUUCUAACAAACAGGAGGAAGCACCCACCCACCUCAGCCAGUCCUCCCUCCUUCCCUCCAAAGGGGCCCCGGCUCACCUUCUGGCCCUCCCAUCUUGUCUAUAACUUUAAUUGCCACUUUUCUUUGGUGUUUUUUGGAAAAUGCUUCUUUGACUUUUGAGUAGGUCCCUUCCCCAAUGGUCUUGCCCAGCUGGUACCCAUUGGAGAGCAGAAAGUCCUCCAUGCUGUCUAGCGCCGCCUUCCUAUCACCCUCUCAGCUCAUGCUGCCUCUGAGAGGCAGCUCUACUCCACCAUCGCCCUUGGCCUGCUCCUUUUCUCCCCAAGGACUUCAUCCGCAGCCGCCCCCAGCGUUAGAACAUUCUCUGUCUGGACACAGCGGCGGGUGGUGGGGAGGGACAGGGCCAGACAUUUUUAAACUCCGGUGCAAUUGUGAUGUAGAUGCUGUGUGACCCUUGGCCAAAAUGGGCAGUGCCCCUACCUGCCCUCACUACCACCACCAAACUCAGCCCGGAUUAAGUCACCGCCGAGCCCGCCCCCGUGCCAGGCAUUGAGUUGUAGUCCCGCCUGGGAGGGCGCUCCGCCGCGUCUGUGUGGACCGGGAAUGCGCGGCUCCUCGGCGUGGACGCCGCCUCGCGGCGGGUUGCCCUGGCCUGCUGCGCCCCCCUCGGGUGUCCGGGGUCUGCGCGACCCCGUCUCCAGGCGCCAUGGCCAGAGGCCUCCAGUCCCCGAUUCUGGCCCGCGCUGAGUGCCAGGGGCGGCAGGGGGCACCGUUGGGGGUUCUCCAGUGGGAGGAACGUGCUCUGUGAGGUCAGCGCGCCGCGGCCCGGGUCACAAUGCUGCCCUCCUCGACGCCCGGGCCCGGGCACGCCACAGAGACCUGCCCGGCUCCGCCUGGACCGGAGCGUUCUCCCGCGGCCAGGGCUCCGGCAGCUGCUUCUAGCCUGGGACCGGUCUCAACCGCCGGGAGGUGAGCGACGGCCCAGGGGGCGGGCGCGAGGCGGCGGCGCCCGGCGACCCGGGAGAGGCCUGACCGCCACUCCCCGCGCAGAGCGCCCCGGGGCUUGGACAUGAGCGCCCAGGAGCCCCCGCAGGGUCGGAGAUUCCCCAUUGAGGCCGGAGACUCCCGUGGCCUUGCCGCCGCCCCCGAGUCCCAGGACAGCCCGGAGGCGGUAGCGACGGAGCACAACCCGGUCAGGCCGCUUCGUCGCUGCCCUGGAUGCCACUGCCUGACGCUGCUGCACGUGCCCAUCGACGUCUACCUCGCCAUGGGCGGGAGCCCCCGGGCCCGCGCCACGUGAGUGCGCCUGCUCCCUGCGGCUCCGCGGGAGCUGGGCGGGAACGAGGCCCCCAGCGGGCCACCACGCUGAGGUCGCAUGCGCCGAGCACGAGACAAUGAUGCACAUUUUAAAAUAAAAGAAUGAUGCACAUUUUAAUAAAGCACAGCACAAACUGUUCUUUCC